GAUGAACGCUGGCGGCGUGCCUAACACAUGCAAGUCGAGCGAAGCGCUUAAAUUAGCUUUCUUCGGAAUGACGAUUUUUGUGACUGAGCGGCGGACGGGUGAGUAACGCGUGGGUAACCUGCCUCAUACAGGGGGAUAACAGUUAGAAAUGACUGCUAAUACCGCAUAAGACCCCAGCUUCGCAUGAAGCGGUGGUAAAAACUCCGGUGGUAUGAGAUGGACCCGCGUCUGAUUAGCUAGUUGGUAAGGUAACGGCUUACCAAGGCGACGAUCAGUAGCCGACCUGAGAGGGUGACCGGCCACAUUGGGACUGAGACACGGCCCAGACUCCUACGGGAGGCAGCAGUGGGGAAUAUUGCACAAUGGGGGAAACCCUGAUGCAGCGACGCCGCGCGAAGGAUGAAGUAUUUCGGUAUGUAAACUUCUAUCAGCAGGGAAGAAAGUGACGGUACCUGACUAAGAAGCCCCGGCUAACUACGUG
rnacentral:rRNA from 1 species